rnacentral:rRNA from 1 species
UACGAAGGGGGCUAGCGUUGCUCGGAAUUACUGGGCGUAAAGGGAGCGUAGGCGGUUAGUUUAGUCAGAGGUGAAAGCCCAGGGCUCAACCUUGGAAUUGCCUUUGAUACUGGCUAUCUUGAGUAUGGAAGAGGUAUGUGGAACUCCGAGUGUAGAGGUGAAAUUCGUAGAUAUUCGGAAGAACACCAGUGGCGAAGGCGACAUACUGGUCCAUUACUGACGCUGAGGCUCGAAAGCGUGGGGAGCAAACAGG